rnacentral:rRNA from 1 species
GAUGAACGCUGGCGGCGUGCCUAAUACAUGCAAGUCGAGCGAACGGACGAGAAGCUUGCUUCUCUGAUGUUAGCGGCGGACGGGUGAGUAACACGUGGAUAACCUACCUAUAAGACUGGGAUAACUUCGGGAAACCGGAGCUAACACCGGAUAAUAUUUUGAACCGCAUGGUGCAAAAGUGAAAGACGGUCUUGCUGUCACUUAUAGAUGGAUCCGCGCUGCAUUAGCUAGUUGGUAAGGUAACGGCUUACCAAGGCAACGAUGCAUAGCCGACCUGAGAGGGUGAUCGGCCACACUGGAACUGAGACACGGUCCAGACUCCUACGGGAGGCAGCAGUAGGGAAUCUUCCGCAAUGGGCGAAAGCCUGACGGAGCAACGCCGCGUGAGUGAUGAAGGUCUUCGGAUCGUAAAACUCUGUUAUUAGGGAAGAACAUAUGUGUAAGUAACUGUGCACAUCUUGACGGUACCUAAUCAGAAAGCCACGGCUAACUACGUG